AGGUUGGGUUUGAUGGUGAGCCUGUGCUGUCAAGAAAAACCUCGGCGUGAGGGAUAUGACCGCCCGUACCCUAAACCGACACAGGUAGUCAGGUAGAGUAUACCGAGGCGACGAGAGAAUCAUGGUUAAGGAACUCGGCAAAAUGCCCCCGUAACUUCGGAAGAAGGGGGACCCUAUGCGGUGAUCCACCUUUGCGGUGGUGAGCGGUGUGGGGUCGCAGAGAAUAGGGAGAAGCGACUGUUUAUCAAAAACAUAGGUGUGUGCGAAGCCGUAAGGCGAUGUAUACGCACUGACGCCUGCCCGGUGCUGGAAGGUUAAGAGGAACGCUUAGUCACAUUCGUGUGGCGAAGGUGUGAAUUGAAGCCCCAGUAAACGGCGGUGGUAACUAUAACCAUCCUAAGGUAGCGAAAUUCCUUGUCGGGUAAGUUCCGACCUGCACGAAUGGCGUAACGACUUCUCCACUGUCUCAACCAUGAACUCGGUGAAAUUGCACUACGAGUAAAGAUGCUCGUUACGCGCAGAAGGACGGAAAGACCCCGGGACCUUUACUAUAGCUUGGUAUUGGUGUUCGCUGGUGUUUGUGUAGGAUAGGUGGGAGACUGUGAAGCGGCCACGCUAGUGGUGGUGGAGUCAUUGGUGAAAUACCACUCUGAUAUUAGUGUGCAUCUAACCUUGAAUCCUGAUCGGGUUUGGGGACAGUGCCUGGUGGGUAGUUUAACUGGGGCGGUUGCCUCCUAAAUGGUAACGGAGGCGCUCAAAGGUUCCCUCAGCCUGGUUGGUAACCAGGUGUCGAGUGUAAGUGUAAAAGGGAGCUUGACUGUGAGACUGACAAGUCGAGCAGGUGCGAAAGCAGGAACUAGUGAUCCGGCAUUGGCUUGUGGAAGCGGUGUCGCUCAACGGAUAAAAGGUACCCCGGGGAUAACAGGCUGAUCUUGCCCAAGAGUCCAUAUCGACGGCAUGGUUUGGCACCUCGAUGUCGGCUCGUCGCAUCCUGGGGCUGGAGUUGGUCCCAAGGGUUGGGCUGUUCGCCCAUUAAAGCGGUACGCGAGCUGGGUUCAGAACGUCGUGAGACAGUUCGGUCCCUAUCCUCUGCGCGCGCAGGAAACUUGAGGAGACUCGCCCCUAGUACGAGAGGACCGGGGUGAACGAACCUCUGGUGUGCCAGUUGUUCCGCCAGGAGCAGGGCUGGUUGGCUACGUUCGGAUUGGAUAACCGCUGAAAGCAUCUAAGCGGGAAGCCAUCUCCAAGACCAGGUUUCCAUCAACAUUAUGUUGUGAAGGCCCCCAGAAGAAGACUGGGUUGAUAGGCCAGACGUACAAGCGUAGUAAUGCGCUCAGCGGACUGGUACUAAUCGGCCAACACU
rnacentral:rRNA from 1 species